rnacentral:misc_RNA from 1 species
AACUGAUACUACCUGCGGGAACCUGCGGAGGGAUCAUUACCGAGUUAGGGUUCCUCUCACGGGCCCGACCUCCCAACCCUGUGUCUACCACACCUUGUCGUUGCUUCGGCGGACCGGUGAGACUUUCCUUCUCCUCUUCGGGGGGGAAGAGGUUCUGACCGCCGGGGGUGUUUCACCCCGGGAGAGCGUCCGCCGAUGGCCCAACUACAACUUCUUUGUUCCAAAACCGGUCGUCUAAAU